GGAAUAGCUACAGUCAUCCUAUUAGACUCACCGGCCAGAGUGAUUCUUGCAGCUGCAUUUGUGUGAGCGUCUACCUAGCGAGUAUUCAGUUCCACCCAAAAGCCUGGGGCAUGUAUGGGGAGAGAGGAGUCUCAGAUCUAUCCUGCAUACAGCUGCCUCUCUGUGCACACAAGCAGCUCCGCAGUUUGCCCUGACAAGGGAAGAUCUGCAAACUUCAUUGCUUGCACUCCUGGGCUGUCACAGGAUUGGUGCCCUGAGAUAUUGUCACUGGAAUACUGUACAUCCAUUGUCACAGUCCUUUCACAAGCAGUGAUGAAGAGGAGGCUGUGAUAUUAUCUGCAACAGAACUGCUUUAAAGGUCGGUGCUCAGUCCAGUAAAGACAUCUGCGAAAGAAAAGUCUAAUCGGCGCAGUGGCGACAUUUUAAUUUCAUUGAAAAAAGGACUUUUUAAAAAAUUAUUUUGUGGCCAAUUUCCCAAGUUCUAAGCGCAGUGUUAAAGAAUAAUAAGUCGUGGCUUCUAAAUCUAUUUUUUUUUUGUUUUGUUGAUUCUUUUUGGGACCUAUGACUUAUUUAAGUCAAUUUUUUAGAGAAGCGGGUGGUUCUUUUUGAAGAGAACGCCUCGAAUAUAGAGACUCAUGAAUCGGUCUGGGAUGGCAUCGCCUGUGGCAAUGAAAGAAGGCGACCUAGAGAAGCGCAGCGACAGCUUUCUUCAGCUAUGGAAGAAGCGAAGGUGUGUGCUGACCGCCGAUGCGUUGCAUCUGUACGCAGACUCUCGGAAGCGAGGGAAGGCCAAAAUCCUCCGCUUUGACUCGCUGGUCAAACUGGAGUGUGUGGAGAGGAAAGGGGAGCGGGUAUAUUUUACCCUGGUCACAAUGGAAGGACAGGAGAUAGACUUCCGCUGCAGGGAACGCAGCCGCUGGAAUGCAGAAAUCACCCUGGCCUUGGUGGGCUUCCAGAACAGUAGAGCGGUGCAAGAGCUCAGAGCGCGCAAGGAACACCAAGCCCGGGAUUCAGGGGAUCGUUUAAGAAGUUGGGGUCCAUGAUUGAUCGACUGUUGAAAAAAACUUAAGGAGCUCAUGCAUCAGCAAUUAAUAGGGGCCAUUUCCUGUUCUGCCUUUGCCUGGGUCAGCAACUCUGCAAAAUAAAACAUGUUGGACAAUUUUGAUUCACGAUUCCGAACCCAAAUAUGAUUGGAUCCAGCAAGUCUGGAUUUUUAACAGGUUAUUCUUCCAUCUGAUGGUAUUCAGACCAAUCAGCUACUUCCUUCUGGCUUUUCUUGUAUUUUUGCAGUGGUCAGUCUGAAGAGGUUAGUUACCAAGACACUGAAGCUCGAGUUGACGCGACUGGCAGGUGAUGACAAAGAUAGCAUCUUGCAGGAGACCCAGCUGUGUCCAUGUUAAGACUAUGUGAACUUGGGAUACUGAGAAGAACAAAAUGCCUUCCCUUCUCUCACUGAAAACAAUGACCUUUAUUUCAGAGGGGAUUAAAGCAUAAAUAACCUGUGUUGCUGUAGCAAUCAAGCCGCAACCAGAAGAUGCUGCAAUAGGUUUGGCUUUUCCUUCUUUCCAGUCAGCUAUGUAUUUAAACAAAAAAGUGGCUUUUUGUUUACUUUAGAGCGGUGGCUGAGUGAGCGCAGGUGCCCCCCCACCCAGGUGCUCCCCCAACCUAGUGGCUGCACCAUAGCUCUUUUUCCCCUUUUUUAAUCUUUUGGAAUAUGGUGAGUGAAACUUGUCUUUUAUGUGACUUUGAGAUAAUAAAAAAAUAAAAUAAAAACAUUAGCAAACCAUCA